GGCGUAAAGAGCUCGUAGGUGGUUUGUCGCGUUGUUCGUGAAAACUCACAGCUUAACUGUGGGCGUGCGGGCGAUACGGGCAGACUAGAGUACUGCAGGGGAGACUGGAAUUCCUGGUGUAGCGGUGGAAUGCGCAGAUAUCAGGAGGAACACCGGUGGCGAAGGCGGGUCUCUGGGCAGUAACUGACGCUGAGGAGCGAAAGCGUGGGGAGCGAACAGGAUUAGAUACCCUGGUAGUCCACGCCGUAAACGGUGGGUACUAGGUGUGGGUUCCUUCCUUGGGAUCCGUGCCGUAGCUAACGCAUUAAGUACCCCGCCUGGGGAGUACGGCCGCAAGGCUAAAACUCAAAGGAAUUGACGGGGGCCCGCACAAGCGGCGGAGCAUGUGGAUUAAUUCGAUGCAACGCGAAGAACCUUACCUGGGUUUGACAUGCACAGGACGCCGGCAGAGAUGUCGGUUCUCUUGUGGCCUGUGUGCAGGUGGUGCAUGGCUGUCGUUAGCUCGUGUCGUGAGAUGUUGGGUUAAGUCCCGCAACGAGCGCAACCCUUGUCCUAUGUUGCCAGCGGGUUAUGCCGGGGACUCGUAGGAGACUGCCGGGGUCAACUCGGAGGAAGGUGGGGAUGACGUCAAGUCAUCAUGCCCCUUAUGUCCAGGGCUUCACACAUGCUACAAUGGCCGGUACAAAGGGCUGCGAUGCCGUGAGGUGGAGCGAAUCCUUUCAAAGCCGGUCUCAGUUCGGAUCGGGGUCUGCAACUCGACCCCGUGAAGUCGGAGUCGCUAGUAAUCG
rnacentral:rRNA from 1 species